CACCACUUCACUUUUCCAUAGUUUCCAGAGAUCCAAAUAUCCAAUACCGCUUCAGUAUACAGAUCCACCGAUUUGGGUUUAAUUUGGGUCUUAACUUAAAUUUGAAGGGACUUUUAAGAAUUUUGAGGUAUAUGAUGAAAUAAAGGGGAUAUUCAACUCUUUCUUAAUGGCUUAAUCUUGUUAUUUUCACUUUGGAAUCAGAAUCGAACACAAAUUGAUUUUGACAUUUAUUCGUUUGCUGAUGAUGAAAUUCAUAGAAUUGAUUUGAGGUGAAAGUGUGGCUUUAAGCUUAAUAGGAGAAAGCUGGAAUAAGAAGUUUGCAAUUGGAGUGUUGUUUUUGAUUUGGUGAGGAUAACAUAGAAAUCAGAAUGGAAAAGAGAUACAGUCAAACUGUCACACCAGCAAUUUAUACAACGUGUUGUUCCUUCGUGAUACAUUCGUGAAAGUUUCCUUCGCGAUAUAUAGCAC
rnacentral:lncRNA from 1 species